rnacentral:rRNA from 1 species
AUUGAACGCUGGCGGCAGGCCUAACACAUGCAAGUCGAGCGAGCGGCGGACGGGUGAGUAAUGUCUGGGAAACUGCCUGAUGGAGGGGGAUAACUACUGGAAACGGUAGCUAAUACCGCAUACCAUCAGAUGUGCCCAGAUGGGAUUAGCUGGUAGGUUGGGUAACGGGUCACCUAGGGGACGAUCCCUAGCUGGUCUGAGAGGAUGACCAGGCAACACGGAACUGAGAACCGGUCCAGGCUCCUACGGGGAGCAGCAGUUGGGAAUAUUGGACAAUUGGCGCAAGCCUGAUGCAGCCAUGCCGCGUGUGGGAAGAAGGCCUUGGGGUUGUAAAGCACUUUCAGCGGGGAGGCGUUACCCGCAGAAGAAGCACCGGGUAACUCCGUGCCAGGAGCCGCGGUAAUUC